GACGAACGCUGGCGGCAUGCCUAACACAUGCAAGUCGAACGGAGAUUAUUUCGGUAAUCUUAGUGGCGAACGGGUGAGUAACGCGUGGGCAACCUGCCCUCUAGAUGGGGACAACAUCCCGAAAGGGGUGCUAAUACCGAAUGUGACAGCAAUAUCGCAUGCGGAUGCUGUGAAAGAUGGCCUCUAUUUAUAAGCUAUCGCUAGAGGAUGGGCCUGCGUCUGAUUAGCUAGUUGGUGGGAUAACGGCCUACCAAGGCGAGGAUCAGUAGCCGGUCUGAGAGGAUGAACGGCCACAUUGGGACUGAGACACGGCCCAGACUCCUACGGGAGGCAGCAGUGGGGAAUCUUCAGCAAUGGGCGAAAGCCUGACGGAGCAAUGCCGCGUGAGUGAUGAAGGAAUUCGUUCCGUAAAGCUCUUUUGUUUAUGACGAAUGUGCAGAUUGUGAACAAUGAUCUGUAAUGACGGUAGUAAACGAAUAAGCCACGGCUAACUACGUG
rnacentral:rRNA from 1 species